AUUAAAUCAAAUAAAAGAGAAUUAAUUCCAAUUUUCUGAAAAUAUCCGAAAGCAUGAUUCGAUGGUUCAUGAGCAUUGAAAUUGUCAACGAAACCCGAUUUCACAAGCAAAGAUAAAAGGCAGAAACAACAGGGUCGUGGAAAGAAUUGUUGAAAGAUUGGGAAAGCAGUUAAUAAUCGAAGCUGAAGAAACCAGAGAGAGAGAGAGAGAGAGAGAGAGAGCAAUCGAUCCAUGGUGUUCAACAGCUUGUUGGUACUAUCGAUGGCGAACAAAUCAGCAGAUGUGUGGCAAUACUUUGCUUGCUUUCCAGAGCGCAUAAGCAGCGAUCAAUGGGUAGAUAUGGUUUGUUGAGUUGUUUCCCUCUCCAACUGUUAGGGGGGUUGGCACUCUGUUUGUCUAUGAACCUUCUUUUGCCUCCCUCCUUCACCUGAUUCCUAUGACCACUCCCAUUUCUACUACGAUUCAGAUUCAGAUUCAUCUUUGACUAUUUCCUAUGAUCACCACAAUCUCGACGACGAUUCGCAUUCCAUUGCUGAUCCGGUCAUCGAAUGUUUGUUAAACAGUAAAUUCUUGGGCCAAUUCUUGUUUCUUUUUAUUUAAUGUAUAUGCAUGUGUUUGAAUUUUUAUUCUAUCCAAUUGUUGGUUAUUUGUGAAUAAUGCGAAUUUGAUGAGCGGAUUUGUUUUAGUAAUGUCCGUUCUAGAUAUGCUGAGUGAUUAACUUAGGAAGAUAUCGGCUGCAAUUAUGGGACUCGUGUUAAAUAUACUGUUUAUUGGAUCCUUUUUUAUCACGAUGACUAUGAUUUCCGUUCUGAUUGAUUGAUCUGAUCACUGAAAAUUCAUUGUACAGAGGGUCUCUCUGUACAGUUCAUGCUUCUUUUUUUUAAAUGUUUUUGUUUGUUGGCUUUUCGCUUUACCCACAGUUGUUGGUUACUACUUAAUUAUGUGAAUUUUGAUGAGCUGAGGCUCCAUUAUAUUAGUAAUUUCAUUUGGAACAUGCUGAUAGUUAUUAUGUGAUUAGUUGAUUUAGUUUGAGAAGAUAUAUGUUGCAAUUAUGGGUUUAUUCUGUUAAUUUUGGCCAUCAGUUUAGGAAGAUACGUCUUGCAAUUAUGGUUUAGGGUUUUAUCAUUUAUUUACUUAUUUUGGUUAGCGGAAUAUGCAAAUUACGUCAAUAAAUUUUCUUCAGCAGAAACAACAGGAGCUACAGAUAUGCAAACUUCUACAAUCCACGCUAGAAGUCCUCCUUGUAUGCGGGUUAGGGCUAUAGAGGUUUGAUUUGUUUGAACUUGUUGUUUGAAGUUAGUUUCAAUUGAGACUAGUAGACAUCAGUACUUUAGAAGACGAAAUGAAAUGAGAUUUACCAUAAAUGGAGCAUAGAAAUGAAAUUCUUUAUAUCUUUUACAUAGCAUUUGGAGACAAACCCUCUUUUCCUAGAUUCUUUGUGGUUUUGCACAAAGAAACAUUCCAUUGUUUGCAGAAUCAAUUUUUGGAUUGCAUGAUUGAUGUCGUUGAAUAUCUCCAUUUACUGCUACCCCUAUGUUCGGCAAAGAUGUUGAGCCUUCUUUUUCUGGUAUCUAUUCCCCUGGUGAUCUAUUUGCAGUUUUUGAUUUCACAUUUGAUUGUAAGAUAUUCAUCAGGGGUAAUUCUGCCAAGAAAACAAACUUUUGUAUCAUUGAAGUAAAAACACAACACCAGUAUGUGCUAAUGAAAUCUGCUGGGUCAUUGCCCUCUGGUGGAAAAUGACCCAAGAGACAAUUUUAUAAUUUUUAUGUAUUAAAAUUUAUCAAUUUCUUGUUGUGAGAUUCUUUGCAUUGAAAAUUUGCAUGCUCACACUCCUGUUUCAGGAACUCCCUCCUCCUAUAAAUGUCCACCACUAUGAUUAAGAUCUUUACAUUUAUUUGUGAGCUGUAACCCUGUGCAUCGUUCAAACUCAACAUCAACUAAAGCGUCAAGUGGGUGCAGAAGUUCUCAAUCCUUGCAUGCACAACACAAUCCGUAUCUUGAUGGUUAAACUCCUAAGUCCAAACAUCUUUGGCCUGCUUAAAAAGAGACUAAAUUCUCUACUUCCUCUAGUUCUU
rnacentral:lncRNA from 1 species